GGAUGUGAGGGUGAUCUGCCUGGUCACCUGUCAUCCCACUGAUCAACAGGGCUGGCCUGGGUGCUCUUUGGGCCACAUGGGCGUCCCCUUUCUUCCCCCCUGCUCCAUGUGUGUCCCUUUCAAAGCUGCAUGCUUGCUCCGUUAGAGGAUGACUACUCUCAACAGAGGACCACCUCCUUGCAAAGGAGGAGGUGUGCAUCUCUGCUCGAACUCCAACAUGCUGUCAAGGGGUGCCCUGGGUGCCCAAGAAUACACUGUUCAGAAGCCUCUCCUGGACAAUAGGCACCUG
rnacentral:snRNA from 1 species